rnacentral:rRNA from 1 species
GAUGAACGCUGGCGGCGUGCCUAAUACAUGCAAGUCGAGCGAACAGAUAAGGAGCUUGCUCCUUUGACGUUAGCGGCGGACGGGUGAGUAACACGUGGGUAACCUACCUAUAAGACUGGGAUAACUUCGGGAAACCGGAGCUAAUACCGGAUAACAUUUGGAACCGCAUGGUUCUAAAGUGAAAGAUGGUUUUGCUAUCACUUAUAGAUGGACCCGCGCCGUAUUAGCUAGUUGGUAAGGUAACGGCUUACCAAGGCGACGAUACGUAGCCGACCUGAGAGGGUGAUCGGCCACACUGGAACUGAGACACGGUCCAGACUCCUACGGGAGGCAGCAGUAGGGAAUCUUCCGCAAUAGGCGAAAGCCUGACGGAGCAACGCCGCGUGAGUGAUGAAGGGUUUCGGCUCGUAAAACUCUGUUAUUAGGGAAGAACAAAUGUGUAAGUAACUGUGCACGUCCUGACGGUACCUAAUCAGAAAGCCACGGCUAACUACGUG